UGCCAGUAGUCAUAUGCUUGUCUCAAAAGAUUAAGCCAUGCAAGUCUAAGUAUAAUUGUUUUACGGUGAAACUGCGAAUGGCUCAUUAAAUCAGUUAUAGUUUAUUUGAUGCUAUAGACCGCAAGGUCACUACAUGGAUAUCUGUAGUAACAUAGAGCUAAUACAUGCAAUAUAGUCUGACUUUUUGGAAGGACUAGCACUUAUUAGAUAUUAAACCGAUCCCAGCAAUGGGUUUUAUGGUGAUUCAUAGUAACUGAACAAAUCACAUGGUCUUGCACCGGUGAUGUUUCAUUCAAAUUUCUGCCCUAUCAACUAGAUGGUAGUAUAUAGGACUACCAUGGUUGUAACGGGUAACGGAGGAUUAGGGUUUGAUUCGGAGAAGGAGCAUGAGAAACGGCGUACUAUUCUAAGGAAAGCAGCAGGCGC
rnacentral:rRNA from 1 species